rnacentral:rRNA from 1 species
AUGUAUAUCCUGUCGGAGGGCGUUCAUGGCUCCUUCGAUAAGGAGCUCGCGAAGUUCUUCUGGCAGGCCGCGGACGGCCGCCAGAAGUAUCACAUGGUCAAGUGGGCAGACAUCUGCAGACCCAAGAACCAGGGUGGCUUGGGCAUUAUAGCCUCUUGUCGCAUGAAUGUGGCUCUUAUGCUACAAUGGGUAUGGCGGAUCAUGCGCGACAAAGGAGGGUUGUGGCUACGGCUGAUUCAAGGUUAA